AGCGAACGCUGGCGGCAGGCUUAACACAUGCAAGUCGAGCGGGCAUCCUUGUGGUGUCCGCGGCAGACGGGUGAGUAACGCGUGGGAACGUGCCCUUCGGUUCGGAAUAACUCAGGGAAACUUGAGCUAAUACAGGAUACGUGCGAGAGCAGAAAGGUUUAUCUGCCGAAGGAUCGGCCCGCGUCUGAUUCGCUAGUUGGUGAGGUUACGGCUCACCAAGGCGACGAUCAGUAGCUGGUCUGAGAGGAUGAUCAGCCACACUGGGACUGAGACACGGCCCAGACUCCUACGGGAGGCAGCAGUGGGGAAUAUUGGACAAUGGGGGCAACCCUGAUCCAGCCAUGCCGCGUGAGUGAUGACGGCCUUAGGGUUGUAAAGCUCUUUUCUCCGGGACGAUAAUGACGGUACCGGAGGAAUAAGCCCCGGCUAACUUCGUG
rnacentral:rRNA from 1 species